GGACAUGUAGCGCUCAAGUGGUAGAGCAGCCGACUUAAAAUCUGCAGAUUGAUGGUUCGAUCCCAUCCAUGUCCA
rnacentral:tRNA from 3 species